rnacentral:rRNA from 1 species
UACGAAGGGGGCUAGCGUUGCUCGGAAUCACUGGGCGUAAAGGGUGCGUAGGCGGGUAUUUAAGUCAGGGGUGAAAUCCUGGAGCUCAACUCCAGAACUGCCUUCGAUACUGAGAGUCUCGAGUCCGGGAGAGGUGAGUGGAACUGCGAGUGUAGAGGUGAAAUUCGUAGAUAUUCGCAAGAACACCAGUGGCGAAGGCGGCUCACUGGCCCGGUACUGACGCUGAGGUGCGAAAGCGUGGGGAGCAAACAGG